GUUUUAAUAGUUUAAUCAUAAAACAUUGGUCUUGUAAACCAAAAAUAUUGAAAUUUUUAAAACA
rnacentral:tRNA from 1 species